rnacentral:lncRNA from 10 species
CAUGACUCACAAAGACAGCCAGAAAUGGAUUUGCAGGAUCAGGGCAUAGCUCAGUGAGAUACUUAGGAGACCACAGGGGAAGCUAAAAAUGAUGUUGGCCUGGCUGACUCCGAGGAUAAAAGCCAGGAGGUGGCCUGGAGGUGGGGAUGGGGGAAGGUGAGCUGAGCAGAGUUGGAAAGCUUCUGUCAGAGGGACCUUACCAACGCCUUUCACUCCCAAGAAACUUUCCUCAUCAUUUACUCUUCUUGUUAUGAUGGCACCAAGUUCAUCUCUUGCUGUUUGGCUUUAAGAAGAUGAGU